CCUACGGGUGGCAGCAGUGAGGAAUAUUGGUCAAUGGCCGGAAGGCUGAACCAGCCAAGCCGCGUGAAGGACGAAGGUGCCAAGCAUUGUAAACUUCUUUUGUCAAGGGACAAAAUCAGGCUCGAGAGCCUGACCGAGGGUACUUGAAGAAAAAGCAACGGCUAACUCCGUGCCAGCAGCCGCGGUAAUACGGAGGAUGCGAGCGUUAGCCGUAUGUCUGGGGUGUAAAGGGUGCGUAGGCGGGCUGUAAAGUCAGCGGUACAAGCCCGGGGCUAAACCCCGGCGAGCCGUUGAAACUGGCUGUCUUGAGAUGUCGAGAGGUAUGCGGAAUGCGCAGUGUAGCGGUGAAAUGCCUAGAUAUUGCGCAGAACUCCGAUUGCGAAGGCAGCAUACCGGCGGCGAUCUGACGCUGAGGCACGAAAGCGUGGGUAUCGAACAGGAUUAGAUACCCCUGUAGUC
rnacentral:rRNA from 1 species